AUGGCUUUUCUCAUUUACUAUCUAAAGAUUAUGGCCAACGUGAUGGGAGUUUUUCUGAUCCUCCUUUGGAUCACGAAUAUGGUUCAGCGAAACAUAUUUCAAGCUGAAGGAGUUCAGGUUUUCCCACCUGUUAAUUUCACCCUUACAGUCUCUGCAUUAGCAGAAGUAUUUUUACACUGGAAACCAAAUCCUAAUCAGGAACAAAAAAACUACACUAUUAGAUAUGAUGUGGAAAUCAUAACUCCUGUGUCUGAAGAGUAUGAUACAAAGAAGACUCGUAGUUUCCGAACAGCUGUACUUCACAAUGGUUUUUCUGCACGCAUUCGGACUUUACUUCUGUUUAAUGAGCUUCAGAUGAAAAGCGACUGGGUGAUGGGUGAGCUGAAGCCUCUGCCUGGUGCUGCAGAGACAUCAGUCACUAAUUUGUCCUGUGUUAAUUACAUCACCAUUUAUAGUACUGUUUCUCUCCAUUGUACUUGGUUUCCUGGUAAAGGAGCACCGGAAGAUACAAAGUACUUUCUAUUUUACAGGUAUAAGACCUACACUGAAGAAUGUCAAGAUUAUAUCAAAGACAAGUGGAACAGGAAUAUUGAGUGCAAAUUUUCAAGGACACAUAUUGAUCCUGAAGAGAUUGACGAGCUUAUUGUAAUACACAUUAAUGGGUCUAGCAAGUAUGCUGCAAUUAAACCUUUUCAGCAGUUAUUUAACCAAAAUACCAUUGAGAAAGUGAAUGUUCCCAGAAAUGUCACUGUAUUCUUAGAGCAAAAUGAUCUCUUGGCCAAGUGGGAGAAGCCAAUUUCUUCUUUCCCUAAAGAAUGUUUUGAAUAUGAAUUUUACCUCUGCAACUUGAAGUCAGGUAACAAGCAGAUAUUGAAAGUAUCAUCAAAUGACUUCAGAUUAAGAAUUGAUGUUACCUGCAGAUAUUCCAUACAGAUACGAGCUAAUCAUUACAUAUGUCGUAAAAGAGGAUUUUGGAGUGACUGGAGUGAAAUUCUUUAUGUUGGAGGAAACAAACAGGAGAAUUCCAUAGCCUGGAUUCUUGCUCUGUUUUGCGUGUCCUCAUGCUCCAUAGCCUUGCUUGUUGCAAUAAUAUGCAAAAUAAACCAUGUACGGAAUAAACUGUUUCCGCCAAUUCCAACACCCAGAAACAAAUUUAAAGAUUCCUUCCCAAAUGACUAUGAGAGAGCACGUACCUACACCAGUGAACUGGAGACAGAGCUGGAAAGCUUUGCUGAGGAUUUCUACUCCAGUGCCAUGGAAGAUUCUGUAUUCUGAUGUGUCCACGUAUUCGCCAGGCUGAGAGAUGCAGCGCUGCUACCGCGAGGAACCCCAGCCACGGCAGAGGAUAUGUCACCCUGGAUCACCCACAGUGUUUCGAGACGGGGAUGAAGGAACUGCGUCCAUGAGGGUAAUCCUAGUUCAGGAUGAAGUCAAAAGUUGGGGCUGGAACGCCUGCUGCUACUGGGCAAGUCUGGAUCUCAGCUGCCCGCGCAAGAACGAGCAGACCCACGGCUUGGGUCUGCUUGAAUCAUCCGGUUUACCUGGUUCUCGAUGUGAACUGUCAUUUGGGUAAAACCGUCCUGCCCUGACACUGAGCGAGGAGAAAAGGGGAAGGCAGGAGAAAUGCUGGCUGCGCACAGGCUGCCGCUGCCGCUAUGCACGGAGCCCCCCGACUCUUACUCGAUAUCUUUGGAAUUCGGAUUUGCUCGCUGCUGCUGCCGUCGCCGCCGUCGCUGAACGGCUUUAUCUCUAUGAUGUAAUCUUCAUCGAAAGGCAAGGACAGCUCCACAGAUGUUUUAUUGGUUUCUAUUACAGAGGCACUGCUCUGUCUGUUCCACCUGUAUAAAACCUGCAGCAAAGGCAAGAGAGAAGAGGAGGCAGAAACUUUUUUACUCCGUGAUGACUAGGAAAACAGCAAUUUCGAAGCUCUGCUAUUCUGAGCCUGGCGCGUGUUUUUGUGAGGCAUCUCCGCCAGCGUGGCCCUGACUCUGUGACGAGUGAAAGGUGCAGGACCAGCGCACAGGGAGCUCUCGAGGGAUGGAUCUGAUAUUGGAAAUUGGGUGUGCAGCGCCAGCCUAAAGCUGCAGCCACCAAAUGCAGCCCUGGCAACUGGCAGAGCACCUUGGCCUCUCUGCUUGAUUAAACAGCACUUCCCAUCACCUGGGGCAGUUCUGGAAGCUCUCCUUCACUGCCAGCUCCAACCAACGCUGGUGCACAUCAAAAAUGUGAUUUAAUUUAUAGGAUAGCUAUCAGAAAUUGCUUCCAAAAGGGUGUUUCCAGCCUCAUUACUCCAAGGACAACAGAUAAAAGAAUGAAAGGAGGAAGAACUUUUAUCAGUACAGUAGAAAAACAAACAAGCAAACAGGUUCUGCUACAGCUUGCGACCAGAAAAUGUUUGUAAAUGGACCAUGUCUCCCUUUGGAGGGCUAACUGAGGCACCUGCAAACUUGGAAUUCACAAAUUCCCUGCAAGUACUUUACAUUCGGAGUAUUUCCUCCCCUAUCUAGCAUUAACACACCUCAGCUUUAUCCUCGAAAUGCAAGGUGCCGAAUAUCACUUUUCCUCAAGUUAGAAAGAUUCAUAAGCAUCCCUUUUCCAUGUGGGGUACCUCAGACAUCAAAUCUAGUGUCUCUUUAAUCCUUACUAAUAGUUGAGCUAAAAUAAUCCUGAGGCUUAUUUAGGCAAAACUACCUAUUACAUUUCUUCAGGAAACUGAGUUGGGUGUUUGAUGUAGUCUCAACCUGCCUUCCAAGAAUAAACUGCUUUUUUUCGAUUUACCUUCUGUCUUUUCAUAAGAUCUGGAAAUUCUGCUAAUCUAUAUGGUGAAAAUGGAAGACUUCCAGAAAAUAAGAGAGGCAAUGUUUUGCUGUGACCCAGGAAGGAAUUUGAGUACUUUAUUCUAACACUUUCCUUUUUCAGAGGUCACAACAGUCUCUCUCACCACUUUUUAACUGACUUUUAAAUUUGCAUUUCAAACCUGAAAUAUGCAGUGAAAAGUUGGUCCAAACUGCUGAGAUUAUUCCGAGGUUUUGACUGAAACCGCUGAGGAAUCGCUUAUUUUGACAAUCCAAUACAGUGCACCAAAGAUAAUUAAAAAUUAGUGCAGAAAUUCAGGAAAGCUUGCAGAGACUCUCAAAUGUGACACAGCCAGAAUUUCAGACUGUGAACUAUAUACGAAGCACGUCCGGUUCCUUCAUCGUUUCAAGUUCUGGUGGAAAACGUUUACACAAUUCAACCCUCCAGGCAAUAGUUGGCAGUUGCACACUGGUAUCUUCUUUGGGCCAAAUUAAACUCUUGUGUAAGGUGAUAGAGUGGAAUUCCUCCCAAGAUUUCUCUCUAGCUAAAUUAUACCUUACUAAAACUGCUACUAAUGAGGAUUCUCUUUCCUUUCUUUUGGCUUUGCUUUCUGAAGAAAAUAGAGCUAUUAAAAAAGCAAGUAUUGAGCCAGCCGUAGUGUUUGGAAGAUUUCUACCAGAAGCAGGGGGGCUGCGAGCAGCCAACAAGCCUCUGUGGCCGGAAAGCCGGGAUGGAAGAGCUGGCCGGGACGAUGUUUGCCACCUUGAUGGUGGGGCCGCUGGGUGCUGCUGGGGUGUUAAUGCACCACACAGAGACCCUUUCUGUGGGGGCGAAGGCGUUCAACUAGCAACCUCUGCGGGUCACAGCAGCCUCCCUAAAUGCUGAUACGCUCUCUAUUUGUAGCCUUUUAACCUGGAAUACCAUAUCAUGAAAAAUCACUUAAUCUGGUCUAUUUAUAAACCCCAAAUUUGACACUGGAUUCAUUUGAAUGUUCAUUACACAAGAAUCCAGAGACAGCUCCAACUUCAUAUGAGUUCCUUCCCAGGUCAGAGGGCCAAGAGGGAGGCAAUGCAGUGAGGCAGCAGCCUUCUGCUUUCAGAGUAUUUACCUUGUAUCCCUUCACCUCUGAUUCGUUAUCCAGGGCUUUUACUUGAUCCCAGUUCAGUAUAAUCUUGGAGUCGGAUGAAUUCCAUAUGAUGUUUCCAGGGGGCUGACUUGGAGCUAUAUCAAAACAUAGGAGGCAUUACAUUGCUAAGGAGCACAGUUUCCCCGUUUGAUCCCUCCCAGCACCAAUGGAGCUUCUGCUGCCAUGGCUGAGCAUGUACAGAGCCUUAUUGCUCUUGAAAGUUAAUGUGCUGUUCCACUGAUCUGUGCCCUCAAGGUCACAGAAGGGGCGACACAACACAGCACUCCAAAUGAAAAAGGAUUCGGUCAGUUGCUCAACAUGUCUGAGACCAGAAGAUUCAACCCUCUUGAAUGAUGAGAUAAAUAUUUAAUUUUCCUACCCAUCCGUGAUUUCAGUUUUGCAUGCUCUGCUUAUUUAACAUGAGGAAGAGCCUUAUAAAAAGAGGCUGGUAAACCUUGUGUGCAAAGAAACCCAGCAAAAGAAAUAUCUCACAGUACCUUCAAACUAGAGAAAGCUUGAAAGUGACAGAGAAAGGGCUUGUAGACAUCCUUCAAACGCAAGACCCCAGCCUCUCCAUACAAAUACUCACGUGGUUUUCUUGUUGUGACAUUGACUGUGGCACUGGCAGGUCCUGUCCCAGCAGUGUUGUAUGCCUUGACUGCUAAAUGAUACAGUGCAUUGCCUUGCAAAUUGGUGACUUUUGUGGAUGUUUGAUUA